CUAAGAGCACUGUAGUAGCGUGGACAGUGGCGGCCAUACAUCGCGGUGGCGCCAGAAUCGCAGAAUUCGUGUCCUCGGACGUUAACGUUCAUUAGGCUGGUCGUUAAAGACCAGAAAAGAAAACGACCCGAUUUACUGGGAUUUCUGCCGCUCGAAAAUGAUAUUUUCUGCGGCGGAGGCGUGUGUCUUGGUUCGUGCGUUGUGGAACGUUGCAAGAUGAGGCGAGGAGCAGAAGGAAAAAGGGAGAAGGAAGGAGUAGCCACACGGUGGUUUAUUCGCGAGGGCAGAGAGAGGGAGAGGCAACGGUAUGCAAAUCGUGGCUUUACCUUCGAUAUAGAGAGCCAAGGUGCGCGCGAUUCGAAGGUAUAUAUAGUGUCGCUGAUUAAAGGACACAGCCUGUGGCGAGGAUUCUCUCCUUCCAGAGGCCCAUGUUGACUCAUAGACAUCGGUUAGUCGUCGUUUUCUAUACGUUGGUCCAAGGUUCAGACGGGAUAAUCGACGAUACAAUUCAUUGGAAAAGUUUAGAGAGAGAAUGGGUGUUGUAAAUUUCGAGUCAAUUGGAUUUAUUGAAAGAGACUAUUUCUAAAUUAUGUUGGGGAAUUAAUAGAUUAAUGAAGAUGAUUUUGAAAAUGUUUUAGAAUCUGAUUUGCAAAAUAGUUUUGAGAUUAUGUAUGCUAAGAAGGGAAAAAGAUUUAUUAUCAUUAAUAAUAUGAUUAUCAAAUUUUUAUGAAAAGAUUUUUGAGAAUUCGUAGAAAUAUUUAAAAAACUAUUAAAAUUAUACGGUGUGAAUAAUCUGUUUUCUUCUUAACGAGGAAAAGAAGUUUUGUUACAAGUGUCUUUGUGGUUAUUAGGUAAUUGGCAUAAAAAAUACUAUUACUUCGAUAAAAUUUCUGAGAACAUUUAGAAUAUUAAGAUGAUCAUGAUUUCGCGAACAAUCUUUUUAUCCUUCUUCGCAUUCUUCAAUCCUCUUUCUCUAAGGAAUAAUUUCCCCCCCCCCCCUUGAAUUUUUAUUGUUAUAGGAGUUAAAACGUGAAGGGGUUGCUGAAAGCUUGUUUAACUGUUGGAAUUUCCAGAAUGAUUUUCUUGACCCGAAGAAUUCUCUUCUGUCCCUCAUUCAAUGAAACUAUUUCUUAUUCCGCUCGUUCAAUCGCUAAAUGCACGCUGUUAGAAUUACUCUACGCAAAACGUUCUUACGUUUCUUAACCCCAGAGAACUUGGCGCAAAAAUUAUAUCCUUUAAAUUUACUCUUUACUACUUCUUUAAAUUAUAAUUCAACGCAGUAUUCCCAUCUCCGUCAAUGAUAUCAUCUAAUAGAAAUGCUUCUAAGACAUAACCGAGAUGCUAUUAUCAUUAGCAUUAAGUAUAAAAUGAUACACUCUUUAUUACACAUCUUUCACGUUAACGCAAACAAAGCUAUGUCACCUCAGAUUUUAUAGCUAACAUUAUCUUCCUUCUUCAAAAACCAUCUAAUCAAGACAAGAGAAACCAAUUAACGACCACACCUCUGCUCAAAAGAAACGAAAAGAAACGAAAAGAAUUAGAGAGAGAGAGAGAGGGGGGAAAGAAAGAGAGGGAGGGGGAAAGGAGUAGAGAGAGGAAGAGAGAGAUUUGCAGGUUUGCAGAAUAUCGUUUGAUUUGACGGCAGCUAGCCGGAAAGCCAGCUUCUCAAUCCCCUUUUCCCAUUGGCCACGGCGCGUUUCAGUCGCUCGCGACAGCACGGUCGCGCCGCAUUCCAGCCACGCGCCUUGCCUAGGAACACUGGCGUAACUACCGAGCCUUAACGAGCCGAUUUGUCAACCGGUAUAUAUGCCGUGGCCCUCGAUAAGAAGACACGUCGCUCGAGAUGACGAUUACGAGGCAAUCGAUCGUGAAAUGCCACCAGGCGAUCGGAUCCCCGAUUGUCGCCCCACUUUUACAAAUCGAUCGCUGGUGCGGCCUCCACGUUUCCGAUUGGGAACGGGUAUCCGUGAUGUUUUCUUCUGCGGCCUCCAUUCCGUCGAACAAAGGGAGGACACCAGUUUUUAUUUUUGCCGAAACAUUCUGCCUUCUGCUGGAAGGAAAUAAAGAAAUAUCGGGGGAAGAUUAUUUCUGCGGUUCGUGGUUUUCUUUCGAGAAUUGCGAUGAAAAGGUUCUUAGAGAAAUGGUUCAGAACAGGGAUCGGAAAGUGGAGUUGAUCUCUCUCUUAUAAUUAUAAUUUUUAACGAGCGUUUGUACAUAUUUUUAUAAAUAUUGAAUAAAAACUUACGAUUGAGUUAUAGAAUUUUCUAUUUCUAUAUUUAUUUUUAAAUAGAUAUUUUAUUAUACAACAAGAAUCGUGAAGAAAAUUUUUUAAAUCCUUUCAAUUCGUUCUUCCUCAAAGUAAAGAAAGAAAAAAAAAAUAUAUGAAAAGGAAAUUACUGAAACGCCAUCAGAUAUAUUCACAUUCUUCCCUACAAAAUAAGAAAAAAUCCAUCGAAAAUUCACCAAACUGACCUUCUUCACGAGAAAAAAGAGGAAGAAGGAAAAAAAAAACAGAAAAGAAAAAUUUUCGAGAAGGAUGAUUAUUUUCGAAAAUCGUAGCUACCUACGUCAAUGGGAAUCUGCUAGGUACAGCAAGAGCAGCAAAAGCAGCACGAGCCGGGGCUGUGUAGUCGUGGUCGAGCGGAGGCGGUGGGAGCCGUCCGCUCUACCGUGGCGUGGAGAAGCGAAAGAGGAGCAAAAAGGAGCCGCGCACGGCGAAAAGGCGUACGUGGUAGGGGAUGAACGUGGAGAAGGUGGUGGUAGACGAGGAGAGUGGUAUCGGAGUGGUGGAAGGAUGGAGAGAGAGGGAAGAGCCGCGACACAAUCACGUCCUGCACGCGCCGUGCCCGGAGCCACUUUCAGACGCUGUUACACGAGGCACCGGCUCCUUUCCUCGACUUCCGGACUGGCAAAGUAUUUCGCUGUGGCAUCUGCUUCUGAUACGUAAUCUGCUCGUGUUGAUAUAUUGUAUCCGGGGAUGGAUGGUUCGUCGAGAAGCCGGAUCUCUAUAUAAUUUUUCUUAACGGGAAUUUUGAAGAGGAUUUCUUUCGUAUUGUCCGGCUGUGAAUAUUAUGCAAAAAGAUGGAAUGUCACAUAUUUUUUUUUUAAAUUUACGAAAAAAUUGACAGUGUUGUGAUUAAAUAAUAAUAUAAUUAUUAUAUGUCCGUAGAUAUAUUGUAUCCGGGGAUGGAUAUCAUUUUUCUAAAAUCUCACAGGUCUGAAUAUUAUUGGGAAAAGAUUUUUUCGAUGGAAAUUUAAUAUUCAUGAAUGCUGAAUGGUUGAUACAUUGUAUCUAAAGUAAAUAAUCAGUGCAACUCUACAAUUUUUCUUAACGGAAUUUUAAAAAGGAUUUUUUUCAUUGUCCACGAAUAUCAUCGUGAAAAGAUUUUUUGAUGGAAUUACAGAUUUAAAAAAUAAUUUUUUAAUAAUUCUUACGACCCGUUAAGUGUUCGUUUAAGCUUUCAAAACCGACAAAUGGGACCAAAUUAAAAAUCAAAAUUAAUUCGCCAUCCAAAUCUUCGAAUCAAAGGAUGCCAAAAGGGGAAUGGCCCUGAAUGGUCCCGAGAACUACUCUCGCGUGCCGCAAACUGCCACAAAAUUCUUUCAUAAAUUAAUUCUCCCUCUUUCCGCAAUCCACUACUAUCGACGAGAAAAAAGGUAAAAAAAAGAUGAUCGUAGCCUUAUUUUUCUCCCGAUAUGCACCUGCCGUCUUCCCACCUGAGCGUUCGUCUCCCGCGAACGAAAAAAAAAAAAAGGAUUCGAACGAAACGAGACGGAGAGUGGAGGGAAAAAAGGAUGGAAGAGAAGCUGGAUCAACGGUUUCUCGAUAGAGAAGCGAUUAGAUAGACAUCUCUGAAAAGAGAGACGGCGAAGACGUUCGAUAUAAUAAACGAACAGGUACGAUCGAAUCGAGGGGGACAAGUUCGAGGGUGGGUUCAUUCAGUGUCAAUCAGGGAAAGUGAUUUCUAUAGGCUGGUUACGACAGGGACGACGUGUCUGCGUGAAUGGGAACGGCGGAAACCUAAUACGGAGCGGGGGGUAAAAGGGCUCGAUUACCUUGGUGGCCGGUUUAAAAAAUUAUAAAACCAAUUUCCGUGAAGGGGAAAUGAGGUCGUUUGCGGAGGUCAGCGUGCAUAAUGAGGAUCGAUCGAACGGAUGCUGCGCCCUGGUUUUCUCCCCCCGCGCGGGGGAGAGAGAGUCCCGCGCACGAGUUCCUUUCGCGUGGGAGAAACCUCUACUCUCGUGUCCUUUGUGCGCGUGGGCGGAUUUGAUCGGUGGCCGCUCCGCUGAUAGACGUAGAAUUCUUACGCGUCGUGCUCACGUUGUCUCCGUGUUUGCGGAGAGAGAGAGUAUGAUUGGAGAGAGGAGAGGAGUUUGGACUUUGAUCAGUGGAUCCCUGUUACGUGACUUUGUCUCGUUUCGUAACGCAACGUAAAAUGGUAAUGGUUGAGCCGGAAUUAUAUAUUAUUGUUUUUAAAUGUAAAUCUCGCUCGAUUUUUACAAAGUUGGAAACCAAUUAUCGAUAUUACGUAGGUACAAAACCCAGCUACGUGACAUUAAAGGAGGCCAAAUUUUAAAUUAGUAUUCGACAACCGUAAUAACGAGGAAGAUGGGCUUUAACUGGUUAAUGUAACGUAUAAUUCGAGAGGAAUAAUAUCCUCGCAGAAAAAAAAAGAAAAAAAGGAAAGAAUCUCGAAAGUAGCACAUUCAAUUACGAUUCAUUACGAUUUAAUUUCGCUUCUCCCUUAAUUUCUCCCUUAUCGUAUCCUCGCGUAAUCUUAUUCGCAUAAAUCUAGGACGCCUGUACCCCGGCUAAAGCUUAAACCUAAAUCUAAACCUAAAUCCUCACCGCUCACCGUGACUCCGCAAAAACCUCUUAAACCGAAAAGGAACAUGACGAGUUAUCGAGGACUGUGGACGUCGAAGGAUGGAAAGGGUAGAAUGGAAGAAGAGGGGCCCAGGUUCCCUCAGCGGGGAACAUCCCCGCAACGUUCGCGAGACCAAAUUUGGCGGCCAUUGUGAGGCGGCCACUCGGUUAGGCGGACAGAUGUUUCCCAGGGUCGCGGCCAACCAACAGAAGCAUCGAGGAGCAACAAGACAAUUCCGUAUGAUUUAUAUUUAUGAGCGUUACUGGCGUUUAAUAGCUGCCGCGCGUUGCAUUGCGCUCACUGAGUCAUACUGGCGGCGACCUGUCUUCUAAAAGCGAGGAGAGACUUCGAAUCGCCACGAGGACGAACACGCGGCUCGUUACGCCGCUGUUAGGUAUGCGACGUAUUAAUUAAUUGGGAUCCGACGAUGCGGCGAGGAAAGAAGAUGGUGGAAGAGGGAGGAGGAGGAGGACGGCGUUUCGAAGUUGGCGCACCUCGUCGUUUUUCAGGUGCGUGGAAGAAUGUUGGCCCGUUUGCUCGUGGCGGAUUGCUUAUGGGAUUCUAGGCCGAUGAGUAAUGGGCCCGAGAGGCCCCGUAGAUGGAACGUAGAUGACGAUAACUGGUGGUUGGUGGUUCGCGUGGAUCCCAUAACAUGGAUUCCGUGAAUGAAGAUUUCAUAAACUUGAGGAUAUUUAGAAAAAUUGUAAAAUAUAAAGAAAAAUAUCUAAGGAUUCUGAGCAAAAAUACGUUUCUUUGAUAUCUUACAGAAUGGUGGAGACAAAGAUCAAACGAAGCAAUAAAGAAACUAGAUUUUGUUAUUAUUUUCUCACGUGGAUCCAUUUUAAUUAUUCCUCGAUUAUACCAGCGAUAAUUUUGAGGAUGAUUAGAAAAAUUGUGCCAAAGAAAAAUACCUAAGGAUUCUGAGCAAAAAUACGUUCCUUUGAAAUCUUACAGAAUAGUGGAGACAAAGAUCAAACGAAGCAAUAAAGAAACUAGAUUUUGUUAUUAUUUUCUCACGUGGAUCAUUUUAAUUAUUCCUCGAUUAUACCAUCGAUAAUUUUGAGGAUGAUUAGAAAAAUUUUGCCAAAGAAAAAUACCUAAGGAUUCUGAGCAAAAAUAUGUUUCUUUGAAAUCUUACAGAAUGGUAGAGACAAAGAUCAAACGAAGCAAUAAAGAAACUAGAUUUUCUUAUUUUUUUCUGAAUGAAUGCGGUCCAUUUGAACCAUUCUAAUUAUUCCUUUAUUAUCCGAGCGAUAAUUUUGCGCUUCGGAUCACCGAAACAGAGGAGUGAAACACCGAAGCAGGCGCAAUCGCGAUUGGGCCACUUUUUUCCUCUCUCGAAGAGAGACAGUGGCAAAAAGUUAAUUAAAAACGCCGAUUACACCCCGGCGUCGUUUCAUCUGUUUGCUCAUUAACAGGCUCGCCGUGUCCAAUCCAAUGAUUAGAUAGCCUAUGCCACCCGUGCCGCAAUUUCGAUCGUCGAUGGAGCAACGCUGCUUCGACGAGUAAUUACGUUGCCGUUUCGAAACGCUAAAUAAAGAAGAAGAGGAAGAGAGGAGGGGAAUAAAAAGAAAACACCAUAGGGACGGAAUCCAUCCUCGAAAUAGGCAAGUUCGAAAAUUAUCGAUCGAUGAGAAAUCCCGAUUGUCGGGAGAUUUUUUUUUUUCUUUAUCAACGGGAUGCUCCAUGAAUAUUUAUGCGUCCAGCGACAAGGCAAAUAUUUUACGGCGCGAGGAUUCGCGCCAAUGAUCGCCGACGCACGCCAUAGGGAUCCACGUCAAAAUCGAGACGAUAAAUUCGUCUGUCUGCCGGGCCAAUUACGACCGUUAGACGCUGCUACAACCGUGCGUCGCGAUCAUUUAUCGCAGGAUUUUCUUCCGUCCUUUCUCGUUUUCUUUUUUUCUCGACUCGAUGAUAUAGGCUUCGUCGAGAAUUUAAAAUUAAUUUGCAAUUUAUCACAUUGAAGAUACUUUCGGAGAAUCAAUAUUUUAGAUUAAAAAAAAUAAUUACGCAUACUUAUAGUAUGGCGAUGAUUAAUUGAUCCGUGAAGAAGAUAAGAAGGCCAAAUUAUUUCCAAAUUCUUCGUCGUUAAACCUAAAUUUAAAAAUUCAUAAAGAUGCACAAAAUAACGAAAAUUCUUAAAUAUAAACAACGCGAUUA